AUUGAACGCUGGCGGCAGGCCUAACACAUGCAAGUCGAGCGGAGCGGCGGACGGGGGAGUAAUGCCAAGGAAUCUGCAUGGGAGUGGGGGAUAAGGUCCGGAAACGGGCGCUAAUACCACAUACUAUCAGAUGAGGCUAGGUCGGAUUAGCUAGGUGGUGGGGUAAGGGCCCACAAAGACGACGAUCCGUAACUGGUCUGAGAGGAUGACCAGUCACACUGGAACUGAGACACGGUCCAGACUCCUACGGGAGGCAGCAGUGGGGAAUAUUGGACAAUGGGCGAAAGCCUGAUGCAGCCAUGCCGCGUGUGUGAAGAAGGUCUUCGGGUUGUAAAGCACUUUCAGCUGGGAGGCGUUACCCGAAGAAUAAGCACCGGCUAACUUCGUGCCAGCAGCCGCGGUAAUAC
rnacentral:rRNA from 1 species